GUUCGUAGUGACUGCGGAGGAUCAUUAUUGAAAACAAGGGUGUCCAAUUUAACUUGGAACCCAAACUUCUCAAUUCUAACUUUGUGCAUCUGUAUUAAUGGCGAGCAACUUCGGUUGUGAGCCUUCACUUACAAAACACUAGUCUAUGAAUGUAAAAUUUUUAUAACAAAUAAAAACUUUCAACAACGGAUCUCUUGGCUCUCGCAUCGAUGAAGAACGCAGCGAAAUGCGAUACGUAAUGUGAAUUGCAGAAUUCAGUGAAUCAUCGAAUCUUUGAACGCAUCUUGCGCUCUCUGGUAUUCCGGAGAGCAUGUCUGUUUGAGUGUCAUGAAUUCUUCAACCCAAUCUUUUCUUGUAAUCGAUUGGUGUUUGGAUUCUGAGCGCUGCUGGCUUUAUUGCUCAGCUCGUUCGUAAUACAUUAGCAUCCCUAAUACAAGUUUGGAUUGACUUGGCGUAAUAGACUAUUCGCUAAGGAUUCGGUGGAAACAUCGAGCCAACUUCAUUAAGGAAGCUCCUAAUUUAAAAGUCUACCUUUUGAUUAGAUCUCAAAUCAGGCAGGAUUACCCGCUGAACUUAAGCAUAUCAAUAAGCGGAGGAAAAGAAACUAACAAGGAUUCCCCUAGUAGCGGCGAGCGAAGCGGGAAAAGCUCAAAUUUGUAAUCUGGCGUCUUCGACGUCCGAGUUGUAAUCUCGAGAAGUGUUUUCCGUGAUAGACCGCAUACAAGUCUCUUGGAACAGAGCGUCAUAGUGGUGAGAACCCAGUACACGAUGCGGAUGCCUAUUACUUUGUGAUACACUUUCGAAGAGUCGAGUUGUUUGGGAAUGCAGCUCAAAUUGGGUGGUAAAUUCCAUCUAAAGCUAAAUAUUGGCGAGAGACCGAUAGCGAACAAGUACCGUGAGGGAAAGAUGAAAAGCACUUUGGAAAGAGAGUUAACAGUACGUGAAAUUGUUGGAAGGGAAACACAUGCAGUGAUACUUGCUAUUCGGGGCAACUCGAUUGGCAGGCCCGCAUCAGUUUUUCGGGGCGGAAAAGCAUAGAGAGAAGGUAGCAGUUUCGGCUGUGUUAUAGCUCUUUAUUGGAUUCGCCCUGGGGGGACUGAAGGAACGCAACGUGGCUUUUUGCAUGAACCUUCGGCUUAUCCACCGCUUAAGGAUGCGG
rnacentral:rRNA from 1 species